rnacentral:rRNA from 1 species
GAUGAACGCUGGCGGCGUGCCUAAUACAUGCAAGUCGAGCGAACAGACGAGGAGCUUGCUCCUCUGACGUUAGCGGCGGACGGGUGAGUAACACGUGGAUAACCUACCUAUAAGACUGGGAUAACUUCGGGAAACCGGAGCUAAUACCGGAUAAUAUAUUGAACCGCAUGGUUCAAUAGUGAAAGACGGUUUUGCUGUCACUUAUAGAUGGAUCCGCGCCGCAUUAGCUAGUUGGUAAGGUAACGGCUUACCAAGGCAACGAUGCGUAGCCGACCUGAGAGGGGGACGGGCCCCACGGGAACUGAGAACCGGCCCAGACUCCUAGGGGGGGCAGCAGUGGGGAAUUUUCCGCAAGGGGCGAAAGCCUGACGGAGCAACGCCGGGGGAGUGAGGAAGGUCUUCGGAUCGUAAACCUUUGUUAUUAGGGAAAAAAAAAUGUGUAAGAAACUAUGCACGUCUUAACGGUCCCUAAUCAGAAAGCCACGGCGAAUAUCGU